rnacentral:rRNA from 1 species
GACGAACGCUGGCGGCGUGCUUAACACAUGCAAGUCGAACGGUAAGGCCCUUCGGGGUACACGAGUGGCGAACGGGUGAGUAACACGUGGUGAUCUGCCCUGCACUUCGGGAUAAGCCUGGGAAACUGGGUCUAAUACCGGAUAGGACCAUGGACUUCACGGUUUGUGGUGGAAAGCUUUUGCGGUGUGGGAUGGGCCCGCGGCCUAUCAGCUUGUUGGUGGGGUAAUGGCCUACCCAAGGCGACGACGGGUAGCCGGCCUGAGAGGGUGUCCGGCCACACUGGGACUGAGAUACGGCCCAGACUCCUACGGGAGGCAGCAGUGGGGAAUAUUGCACAAUGGGCGCAAGCCUGAUGCAGCGACGCCGCGUGAGGGAUGACGGCCUC